UCAGCUAUAAAUGGGCUAGAACAUAACUGUUUACAUUAGCUGGAAGUGAGGUCAUACUUAAUUGUAUCCGCCAGCUGUGUAUAAGAUGGUGGCCAGCUUUAUCUUUAGUUAUAGAAUCUUAGAUGAACUCUACAAGACAACUGUUAUAAAUAAUAAUAAAGGAGUUGACAUUAGUUGCAGACCGAUGUGCACUAGAGGAGAUCCGUUAUUAACUUACCUGGAACCUGAUGUUUCAUAUACACAUAUUACCAAUGUACCUUCCUGU
rnacentral:lncRNA from 1 species